UACGUAGGGUGCGGGCGUUAAUCGGAAUUACUGGGCGUAAAGCGUGCGCAGGCGGUUUUGUAAGCCAGGUGUGAAAGCCCCGGGCUUAACCUGGGAAUGGCAUUUGGGACUGCAAGGCUGGAGUGUGGCAGAGGAGACUGGAAUUCCUGGUGUAGCAGUGAAAUGCGUAGAUAUCAGGAGGAACACCGAUGGCGAAGGCAGGUCUCUGGGCUGACACUGACGCUCAUGCACGAAAGCGUGGGGAGCAAACAGG
rnacentral:rRNA from 1 species